rnacentral:rRNA from 1 species
UCCCAACAGUCCAAGUCGCAGCCACAAUUAUUGGGUCUAAAACAUCCGUAGCUUGCUUUGCAAGUCUCUUGUGAAAUCGGGCUUCUUAAGAGUCCGGCGCGCAAGAGAUACUGCUUUGCUAGAGACCGGGGGACGUAAUGGGUAUGGUACGGGUAGCGGUAAAAUGCGUUGAUCCAUACUAGACCAACAAUAGCGAAGGCACGUUACGACAACGGAUCUGACAGUGAGGGAUGAAGGCUAGGGGC